rnacentral:rRNA from 1 species
AUUGAACGCUGGCGGCAGGCCUAACACAUGCAAGUCGAACGAGUGGCGGACGGGUGAGUAAUGUCUGGGAACCUGCCCGAUGGAUGGGGAUAACUACUGGAAACGGUAGCUAAUACCGCAUACCAUCGGAUGUGCCCCGAGGGGAUUAGCUAGUAGGUGGGGUAACGGCGCACCGAGGCGACGAUCCCUAGCUGGGCUGAGAGGAUGAACAGCCACACUGGAACUGAGACACGGUCCAGACUCCGACGGGAGGCAGCAGUGGGGAAUAUUGCACAAUGGGCGCAAGCCUGAUGCAGCCAUGCCGCGUGUAGGAAGAAGGCCUUCGGGGUGUAAAGUACUGUCAGCGAGGAGGCGUUACUCGCAGAAGAAGCACCGGCUAACUCCGUGCCAGCAGCCGCGGUAAUUC